rnacentral:rRNA from 1 species
CCUUGAAGAUCGGAGUGCUUGCACUCUGUGAAACAAGAUACAGGCUAGCGGCGGACGGGUGAGUAACACGUGGGUAACCUGCCCAAGAGAUCGGGAUAACACCUGGAAACAGAUGCUAAUACCGGAUAACAACAGAUGAUGCCUAUCAACUGUUUAAAAGAUGGUUCUGCUAUCACUCUUGGAUGGACCUGCGGUGCAUUAGCUGGUUGGUAGGGUAACGGCCUACCAAGGCGAUGAUGCAUAGCCGAGUUGAGAGACUGAUCGGCCACAUUGGGACUGAGACACGGCCCAAACUCCUACGGGAGGCAGCAGUAGGGAAUCUUCCACAAUGGACGCAAGUCUGAUGGAGCAACGCCGCGUGAGUGAAGAAGGGUUUCGGCUCGUAAAGCUCUGUUGUUGGUGAAGAAGGACAGGGGUAGUAACUGACCUUUGUUUGACGGUAAUCAAUUAGAAAGUCACGGCUAACUACGUGCCAGCAGCCGCGGUAAUACGUAGGUGGCAAGCGUUGUCCGGAUUUAUUGGGCGUAAAGCGAGUGCAGGCGGCUCGAUAAGUCUGAUGUGAAAGCCUUCGGCUCAACCGGAGAAUUGCAUCAGAAACUGUCGAGCUUGAGUACAGAAGAGGAGAGUGGAACUCCAUGUGUAGCGGUGAAAUGCGUAGAUAUAUGGAAGAACACCGGUGGCGAAGGCGGCUCUCUGGUCUGUUACUGACGCUGAGGCUCGAAAGCAUGGGUAGCGAACAGGAUUAGAUACCCUGGUAGUCCAUGCCGUANACGAUGAGUGCUAAGUGUUGGGAGGUUUCCGCCUCUCAGUGCUGCAGCUAACGCAU